rnacentral:rRNA from 1 species
AGAGUUUGAUCCUGGCUCAGGACGAACGCUGGCGGCGUGCCUAACACAUGCAAGUCGAGCGGAGACAGUGAGUAGCUUGCUAUGAGCUGUUUUAGCGGCCGACGGGUGAGUAACGCGUGAGCAACCUUUCCCAGACAGGGGAAUAACACACCGAAAGGUGUACUAAUACCGCAUAAGACCACGGGAUCACAUGGUUCUGGGGUAAAAGAUUUAUCGGUUUGGGGUGGGCUCGCGUCCGAUUAGGUAGUUGGUGAGGUAACGGCCCACCAAGCCGACGAUCGGUAGCCGACCUGAGAGGGUGAUCGGCCACAUUGGGACUGAGACACGGCCCAAACUCCUACGGGAGGCAGCAGUGGGAAUAUUGGGCAAUGGAGGAAACUCUGACCCAGCAACGCCGCGUGGAGGAAGAAGGUUUUCGGAUCGUAAACUCCUGUCCUUGGAGACGAGUAGAAGACGGUAUCCAAGGAGGAAGCCCCGGCUAACUACGUGCCAGCAGCCGCGGUAAUACGUAGGGGGCAAGCGUUGUCCGGAGUAAUUGGGCGUAAAGGGCGCGUAGGCGGCUCGGUAAGUCUGGAGUGAAAGUCCUGCUUUUAAGGUGGGAAUUGCUUUGGAUACUGUCGGGCUUGAGUGCAGGAGAGGUUAGUGGAAUUCCCAGUGUAGCGGUGAAAUGCGUAGAGAUUGGGAGGAACACCAGUGGCGAAGGCGACUAACUGGACUGUAACUGACGCUGAGGCGCGAAAGUGUGGGGAGCAAACAGGAUUAGAUACCCUGGUAGUCCACACUGUAAACGAUGAAUGCUAGGUGUAGGGGGUAUCGACCCCUUCUGUGCCGCAGUCAACACAAUAAGCAUUCCGCCUGGGGAGUACGGCCGCAAGGUUGAAACUCAAAGGAAUUGACGGGGGCCCGCACAAGCAGCGGAGCAUGUGGUUUAAUUCGACGCAACGCGAAGAACCUUACCAGGUCUUGACAUCCACUUAAACUUACAGAGAUGUAAGGUGUGCUUGCACAAAGUGAGACAGGUGGUGCAUGGUUGUCGUCAGCUCGUGUCGUGAGAUGUUGGGUUAAGUCCCGCAACGAGCGCAACCCUUAUCUUCAGUUACUAACGCGUGAGGGUGAGGACUCUGAAGAGACUGCCGGGGACAACUCGGAGGAAGGUGGGGACGACGUCAAAUCAUCAUGCCCCUUAUGACCUGGGCUACACACGUGCUACAAUGGCCACGACAGAGAGAAGCGAAAUCGCAAGGUAGAGCGGAACUCAAAAAAGUGGUCCCAGUUCGGAUUGUGGGCUGCAACCCGCCCACAUGAAGUCGGAGUUGCUAGUAAUCGCGGAUCAGCAUGCCGCGGUGAAUACGUUCCCGGGCCUUGUACACACCGCCCGUCACACCAUGGGAGUUGGGAGUGCCCAAAGCCGGUGAGGCAACCGCAAGGAGCCAGCCGUCUAAGGCAAGACCAAUGACUGGGGUGAAGUCGUAACAAGGUA